rnacentral:tRNA from 1 species
AGGCGAAGUAGUUUAAUUUAAAAACGAUAGAUUGUGGUUCUGUUGAUAGUUGCAUCUUUUCGUCUC